GGAGUAAAUUUAACCAAUAAUCACUGAACUUUACACUUGAUUACUACUUGCUCACUUAUCUUUCACAUAUUACUGAAUGCUCACUCAUCUUUUCAUAUAAUUACUCAUUCAUCACUCGCCUCUUCAAAUAAUUGGGCGACUUUUACGGCAAAUUUUCGACAACUCCGACCACAAAAAAUGUCGAAUUUUGAUACCGUUGGAAAGCCCACGAUGUCCUCUUCAAUUACCACCCAAAAUCUCAUUAUAACUCCAAG
rnacentral:lncRNA from 1 species